GUAGUCUUCUUCUUCCCUGCGUAUCUUGGCGUGUUACCAUUGAGGUUACCGUUAAGGUCACCAUUGAGGUUACCGUUGAGGUUACCGUUAAGGUCACCGUUGAGGUUACCCUUAGGGUUACUGUUAAGGUUACCGUUGAGGUCACCGUUGAGGUUACUUUUAGGGUUACCGUUAAGAUUACCGUUGAUGUCACCAUUGAGGUUACCGUUAAGGUUACCGUAAGGGUUACCGUUGAGGUUACCGUUAGGGUUACCCUUGAGGUCACCAUUGAAGAUACCGUUGAGGUUACCACUGAGUAAAGGAUACCACUGAGUAUAGGUUACCCUUGAGGAUACCGUUGAGGUUACCGUUGAGUAUACCAUUGAGGUUACCGUUGAGUCUAAUGUUGAGGUUACCGUUGAGGUCACCGUUGGGGCUAGCGUUGAGGUUACAGUUGAGGUUACCAUUGAGGUUACCGUUGAGGUUACCGUUGAGGAUACAGUUGAGAAUACCGCUGAGGUUACCGUUGAGGAUACCGCUGAGUUUAACGUUGAGGUUACCGUAAAGGUCACCGUUGAGGUUACCGUUGAGGUCACCGUUAAGGUUACCGUUAGGGUAACCGUUAAGGUUACUGUUGAGGUCACCGUUGAGGUUACUUUUAGGGUUACCGUUAAGAUUACCGUUGAUGUCACUGUGGAGGUUAACGUUAAGGUUACCGUUAGGGUUACCGUUGAGGUUACCGUUAAGGUCACCAUUGAGGUUACCGUUAAGGUUACCGUUGAGGCUACUGUUGAGAAUACCGUUGAGGUUACCAUUGAGGUUACCGUUGAGGAUACCGUUGAGAAUAUCGCUGAGGUUACCAUUGAGGAUACCGUUGAGUUUAACGUUGAGGUUACCGUUAAGGUUACCGUUGAGGUUACCGUUAGGGUUACCGUUGAGGUUACAGUUUAGGUUACCGUUAAGGAUACUAUUGAGGUUACCGUUAAGGUUACCAUUGAGGUUACCGUUUAGGAUACCGUUGAGGUUACUGUUGAGAAUACCGUUGAGGUUACCGUUGAGGAUACCGCUGAGGUUACCGUUGAGGUUACCGUUGAGGAUACCGUUAGGGUUACCGUUGAGGUUACAGUUGAGGUUACCGUUAAGGUUACCAUUGAGGUUACCGUUGAGGUUACCGUUGAGGAUACCGCUGAGGUUACCGUUGAGGAUACCGUUGAGGUUACCGUUAAGGUUACCGUUAAGGUCACCGUUGAGGUCACCGUUAAGGUUACUGUUAAGGUCAUCGUUGA